rnacentral:rRNA from 1 species
AGAGUUUGAUCCUGGCUCAGGAUGAACGCUAGCGGCAGGCUUAACACAUGCAAGUCGAGGGGCAGCGCGAUGUAGCAAUACAUUGGCGGCGACCGGCGCACGGGUGCGUAACACGUAUGGAACUUGCCCUUUACUGGGAGAUAGCCCUCCGAAAGGAGGAUUAAUAUCCCAUAAUAAACGAGGUGGCAUCACCUUGUUUUGAAAGCUCCGGCGGUAAAGGAUGGCCAUGCGCACGAUUAGCUAGUUGGUGAGGUAAUGGCUCACCAAGGCUACGAUCGUUAGGGGGCCUGAGAGGGUUAUCCCCCACACUGGUACUGAGACACGGACCAGACUCCUACGGGAGGCAGCAGUGAGGAAUAUUGCGCAAUGGAGGCAACUCUGACGCAGCCAUGCCGCGUGCAGGAAGAAGGCGCUACGCGUUGUAAACUGCUUUUAACCGGGAAGAAACCCCUCUACGUGUGGAGGGUUGACGGUACCGGAGGAAUAAGCACCGGCUAACUUCGUGCCAGCAGCCGCGGUAAUACGAAGGGUGCAAGCGUUAUCCGGAUUCAUUGGGUUUAAAGGGUGCGUAGGCGGGGUGGUAAGUCAGUGGUGAAAUCCUGCAGCUUAACUGUAGAAUUGCCAUUGAUACUGCCAUUCUUGAGUACGCUGGAUGUGGGCGGAAUGUGCCGUGUAGCGGUGAAAUGCUUAGAUAUGGCACAGAACACCGAUAGCGAAGGCAGCUCACAACGGCGAAACUGACGCUGAGGCACGAAAGCGUGGGGAUCGAACAGGAUUAGAUACCCUGGUAGUCCACGCCGUAAACGAUGAUCACUCGUCAUUGGCGAUACACUGUCAGUGACCUAGCGAAAGCGUUAAGUGAUCCACCUGGGGAGUACGGCCGCAAGGCUGAAACUCAAAGGAAUUGACGGGGGCCCGCACAAGCGGUGGAGCAUGUGGUUUAA